rnacentral:rRNA from 1 species
UACGUAGGUGGCAAGCGUUGUCCGGAUUUACUGGGCGUAAAGAGCGCGCAGGCGGUCGGAUAAGUCGAAUGUGAAAGCCCCCGGCUCAACUGGGGAGGGUCAUUCGAUACUGUUCGACUCGAAGGCAGGAGAGGGAAGUGGAAUUCCCGGUGUAGCGGUGAAAUGCGUAGAGAUCGGGAAGAACACCAACGGCGAAAGCACUCUGCUGGGCCGAAACUGACACUGAGAGACGAAAGCUAGGGGAGCAAAUGGG